AUGAGAAUGCACGCCAACUUUUUAAUCAGCUCUUCAAAUUUUAUCUGAUUGGUUUGAAUAUGGGCGGAGCAAAUCGCU
ensembl:ncRNA D2092.12 ncRNA